GCCCGAUUAGCUCAGCUGGUUAAAGCGUCGUACUAAUAUCAUCUCACGGUGAUAUCAAGUCAUCCAAUGCGAAGGUCAACAGUUCAAUCCUGUUAUUGGGCA